UGAAGCACGAAGAGGGCUCAGAGCUGAAAGAGCAAUUGGUGAUUUAAUGUUGGAGACAGGAUUUGAACCUCUGCCUGAUUCCAAAGCAUCUCACACAACAUCAGGCUUCCUUCAUACUCCUCGGUCUUCGGGUCACAGGACGUUGAGCACUAAUGGUGUGAGGUGGGAAGGAGCCUGACACUCCCGAUGCCACUAGUGAACAUGGCCGCUAUUCCUCUAAAUAAUCUACAAGAGCAACUAGAGCGCCACUCAGCCAGAAAACUUAAUAAUAAAUCAGAUCUUUCAAAACCAAAACCUUGUGGUUUUACUUUUAAAAAGAAAACAACUUCGGAUAACGAUGCCUCUGUAACUAGUGUGUCAAUAGCAAAAACCCCUGUGUUAAGUGAUAAAGAUGUGAAUGUGUCAGAAGUCUUUUCCUUCACUGAGCCUCCACCCCACACCCCAAGUCAGCAGCCAAGGAUCAAUGGCUUCUUUAAGAAUGCUGCAGUAGGACAGCAAGGCCAAAGAACUGGUUCAAAACUCUUACUGACAGGUUUGUUGCAGAUUCCACAGGAAGCUUUACCUACUACCCAAAACAUAUCAGCUGUAAAGAAACCUCACAAUGCUAUUCUCAAGAAAUUGGAAUUUAGUUCUUCCUCAGAUUCUUUCCACACUAUGAAUGAUUGGGAUGACAUGGAUGACUUUGAUACUUCAGAAACUUCAAAAGUAUUUGCUACACCACCUAAAAAUCACCUCGUAAGAGUUAGCACUGCUCAGAAAUCAAAAAAGGCCAAGAGAAAUUUUUUUAAAGCACAGCCUCAUAAAACAAACACUGUAAAGGCAGAUUUGACUCCGUCUGAAAGCCAGCCAGUAGACUUGACUAAGGAAGAGAAAGAUGACUCAGAAUGGUUAAAGAGUGGUGUGAUUUGCAUCGAUGAUGACUCCAUUCCCCAAGUGCAUACAGAUGAAGAUACUCAGGAAAGACAUUCUUUGAAAAUUCAUUUGGGAGAUGAAAGAGAUAAUAAUGAAAAGCACAAUGAGGAAGAUGUUGAACUACUUUCAUCUGAGAAGGCUACAUGUGUUGAGCUUAAUGAUGAUGAUUAUAUUGAUUUUGUCCCACCUUCUCCAGAAGAAGAAAGUAUUUCUGCCUCUUCUUCCUCUUUGAAAUGCUUUAGUGCAUUAAAGGAUCUUGAUGCCUCUGACCAAGAGGAGGAUGUUCUUAGCACAUCAAAAGACCUUCUGUCAAAACCAGAGAAAAUGACUACGCAGGAGCCCAAUCCAGAAAUCAGUACAGACUGUGAUGCCAGACAGAUCAGUUUACAGCAGCAGCUUCUUCACGUGAUGGAGCACAUCUGUAAGUUAGUUGAUACUAUUCCUGUUGAUGAACUGAAAGCUUUGGAUUGUGGAGAAGAGCUGCUUCAGCAGCAGAACAGAAGAAGGAAACUUCUAGCUGAAGCAGGUUUCACCAGAAAUGAUGCCAGUCUUCUUGGUUCAGUGUGGAGAUACAGGCCUGGUUCACUUAGUAGCCUUGUGGAGACCGAUUCCUACCCAACAAGGAGUUCUGUUAAGGACCUAAGUGUUCUACCCCUUCCUUCACAUUCUCUUUCCACCAGGGAAUGUUUACUGACCACCACCCCAGGAAAGACAGGCUUCUUAGCCACCAUGAGUACUCUUCCUGAAAGACCUUUAUUCAGUUCCCAUUUACAGAAGUCCUUUGUAAGUAACAACUGGGCUGAAACACCAAGGAUAGAAAAAAGAAACGAAAGCUCUUAUUUCCCAGGAAAUGUUCUCACAAGCACUGCUGUGAAAGAUCAGAAUAAACACGCUGCUUCAGUAAAUGACUUAGAAAGAGAAAACCAGGCUUCCCAUGAUGUUGAUAAUUUCAAUAUAGAUGACUUUGAUGAUGAUGAUGAUGACUGGGAAAAUAUAAUGCAUGAUUUAGCAGCUAGUAAACCUUCCACAGCUGCCUAUCAGCCUAUCAAGAAAGGUGGGCCACUGAAAUCAGUAUCAGAGAAGAUUUCUGCAGCCAAGACACACUGUCUUCCAGGGGCUUCUGUUGCUCAACAUCACACUGGGAGCCCCCUGCAAGGGCACAGAGGCAAAUGUGAGAGCCGCCGUGAAAGAGGACUGGGAACAACUCGGACAACUGAGGUUUCAGGCCCAGUGGCGCUGCUCACAGAAAUAAGGGAGUCAGGAGGCAGAGACAAAUUGACACAGAAUUUAGCAUCCAGAAAUAUAAAGCAAGAGUGCUUCCAAAGUCUUAGUUUUCCUCAUACAAAAGAAAUGAUGAAGAUUUUUCACAAAAAAUUUGGCCUGCAUAAUUUUAGAACUAAUCAGCUUGAGGCGAUCAAUGCUGCACUGCUUGGUGAAGACUGUUUUAUCCUGAUGCCCACUGGAGGUGGUAAAAGUUUGUGUUACCAGCUACCUGCCUGUGUUUCUCCUGGGGUCACUAUUGUCAUUUCUCCCUUGAGGUCACUAAUAGUAGAUCAAGUCCAAAAGCUGACUUCAUUGGAUAUUCCAGCUACAUAUUUGACAGGUGAUAAGACUGACUCUGAAGCCGCAAGUAUUUACCUCCAGUUAUCAAAAAAAGACCCAAUUAUAAAACUUCUGUAUGUUACUCCAGAGAAGGUCUGUGCAAGUAACCGGCUAAUUUCUACUCUGGAGAAUCUGUAUGAGCGAAAGCUUUUGGCACGUUUUGUUAUUGAUGAAGCACAUUGUGUGAGCCAGUGGGGACAUGAUUUUCGCCAAGAUUACAAAAGAAUGAAUAUGCUUCGCCAGAAGUUCCCUUCUGUUCCAAUGAUGGCUCUCACCGCCACUGCCAACCCCAGGGUGCAGACGGACAUCCUCACUCAGCUGAAGAUUCUUAGGCCGCAGGUGUUUAGCAUGAGCUUUAACAGACAUAAUCUGAAAUACUAUGUAUUACCAAAAAAGCCUAAAAAGGUGGCAUUUGAUUGCUUAGAAUGGAUCAGAAAGCAUCACCCAUAUGACUCCGGGAUCAUUUAUUGCCUCUCCAGGCGGGAGUGUGACACGAUGGCUGACACGCUGCAGAAAGACGGGCUCGCUGCUCUGGCUUAUCACGCCGGCCUCAGUGAUGCUGCCAGAGAUGAAGUGCAGCACAAAUGGAUCAACCAGGACGGCUGCCAGGUUAUCUGCGCGACAAUUGCAUUUGGAAUGGGGAUUGACAAACCUGAUGUGCGAUUUGUGAUUCACGCCUCUCUCCCUAAAUCCGUGGAAGGUUACUACCAAGAAUCCGGCAGAGCUGGAAGAGAUGGAGAAAUAUCUCACUGCCUGCUUUUCUAUACUUACCAUGAUGUGACUAGACUGAAGAGACUGAUAAUGAUGGAAAAAGAUGGGAACCAUCAUACAAAAGAGACUCACUUCAAUAAUUUGUAUAGCAUGGUACAUUACUGUGAAAAUAUAACAGAAUGCAGGAGAAUACAGCUUUUGGCUUACUUUGGUGAAAAUGGAUUUAACCCCGAGUUUUGUAGCCAACACGCUGAUGUUUCUUGUGAUAAUUGCUGUAAAACAAAGGAUUACAAGACAAGAGAUGUGACUGGUGAUGUGAAAAAUAUUAUAAGAUUUGUUCAAGAAUAUAGUUCAUCUCAAAGAAUGAAAAAUGUAAAGCAUGUAGGUCCCUCUGGAAGAUUUACUAUGAACAUGCUGGUUGACAUUUUCUUGGGGAGUAAGAGUGCAAAAGUUCAGUCAGGUAUAUUUGGAAAGGGAUCUGCUUAUUCACGACACAAUGCUGAAAGACUUUUUAAAAAGCUAAUACUUGACAAGAUUUUGGAUGAAGAUCUAUAUAUCAAUGCCAAUGACCAAGCAAUUGCCUAUGUGAUGCUGGGAACUAAAGCUCAAGCAGUACUAAAUGGGCAUUUAAAGGUAGACUUUAUGGAAACAGAAAAUUCCAGCAGCAUGAAGAAACAAAAAGCUUUAGAGGCAAAAGUAUCUCAGCGGGAACAGAUGGUUAAGAAAUGCCUUGGAGAACUUACACAGGUCUGCAAAUCUCUGGGGAAAGUUUUUGGUGUCCAUUACUUCAAUAUCUUUAAUACCGCCACACUCAAGAAGCUCGCAGAAUCUUUAUCGUCUGAUCCUGAGGUUUUGCUUCAAAUUGAUGGUGUUACUGAAGACAAGCUGGAAAAAUACGGUGCAGAAGUGAUUCCAAUACUACAGAAAUACUCUGAGUGGACACUGCCAGCUGAGGAGGUUUCUUUAGGGAUUGGCACCAGAGGCCCUGGGAGGAACGCCCCUGAAGAGCCGGAGGAGGAGAUACCUGUGUCUUCCCAUUACUUUGCAAAUAGAGCCAGAAAUGAAAGAAAGAGGAAGAUGCCAGCCACCCAGAGGUCUAAGAGGAGAAAAACUAGUUUUGGUGGCUUCAAAGCCAAGGGUGCACAAGUGACCGGCAGAUGCUCUUCAGUGAGGACAUUUUCUUCUUUCCUUCGUUUAUUUCUCCGCCUUGGGAAAUACUUACUUCCUCAGUGGCUCACAGGAGCAGGAGACCUUGCAAGGCAUCUGCACCAGCUCCCUCAGGCCUGUGCCUGGCCUGGCUUGGCAAGGGCCUGGCCUGGCGGCUGUGGCCUGGUCUCUAUUUCAGAGGUGGGUCUGCAGGCUGCCUACCCACGCACGCCCGUCUGGAGCGCUUUCAUUUAUGCAUGUCGUCUUCAAAGUGUGCAUGGUCUCUUGUCUCAUUUUUACUCAUUAGAACAACACGAACCAUGUGACAGUGCUUGCCAACCUUGGCUCCCUUAUUUGAUUUUCAUAGUGUGUUUGUGAGAGCAGAAUGUCUCUGCUGCAUCACCUAGAGCCCAGUUUCGUAAAAAGUAGUAAAACUCAACCUUGUCCAUGAGCCAGGCCCAGUCCCCACUCUCCUUUCAGUUGCCUGUGUGUUUGAGAUGGGAUUCCUGUCUAGUCCCCACUAGCUAACACCACUGCCAUUUGUCGAGUUUUUACUGUGCAGCAGCCUCUGUGUAUGCGCUUCAUUCUGCCUGUUCCCACUGGCCCCCGGUAGAUGGCUUUCUGGUCCCCAGCCCGCUCACCUGGUCAUCCCUGUGCAGGGACAGAAUGAGUGUGGCCCCCAGCCAGAGACCUUCACUCUACCCUGCCCCGGGUCUGCAGCUCAGGCAGCACACAAUGAGCUGCUUGUGCCGACUGCGGUUGGAGUGAAAUGGAUGGCCCAGUGGUGAAAUGGAGCCUGCUGUUGGCAGAUUCAUUCUGUAAAUCAACAUAAGCAGCAGGUUUUUCCUUGGGGCUUAAUUUCUCAGCAGGAAAUCAUCAUGGCAAACUUCAGGCUGCUUCUCUGCCACUUGGGCAGAUCUCUGCCAGAUCUGCAGUAAAAUUGCCCUCCAACAAGAGUUUUAAAAUACUGGAAAAACCACUCUUCACUCAGCACCCCCAGAAUGUUAUUAUCCAGGGACUGUGGCACUGUUUCGCUGGACCCCAAAUCAGAGCUAGGAGGCCACUCAGCAGCCCUGGUGCUGUGGGGUUACUGGGGUUCAGCCAGCAGAAAGGCUCCCUGUAGGUAAUGCCGGCCCAGCAGUUAUGUUUUGUUUUAUUUGUAGUGGAGAAAGCUGUUAUCCUCAGGUCAGCAAGCCAAGUGAUGUGCAGGAAGGACUUUGUCCUGGGCUGUGAAGGGGCUUUCUUCCUGGUUUUAAAAGACAGGCAUCUACCACAUGCAGAAGGAUGUCUUCUAAAAGUAAAUUCUCCAACACAAUUGGAUCCAGCUCAGCCUUGCAUAGCUCUCAAGCAACAUCAGGAGCUAGUAGAAAAUUGGGGAUUAUGGCACCACCAAAG